CCUGACUCUAUUGUUUUUUACAUACCUGACUUAGUUGUUUCAUCUCUGGAGGAUUUGGGUUCCUCACCUAUAAUCUAAGAGGUCUGGAUUAGAUGGCCUCUAAAGUCCCUUCUAGCAAUCUGCAGUCAUGCAUGGUUUUUAGCUCUAGGUAACAAGAUGCCUCUCCCAGGAUCAGCUCAUCCCUUCCAGUCUUAUCACCAAGCCACCAGCUGGAGUCUGGAUUGAGACCCUCUGCCUCUUCUCCCCUCUGUUUGCAGGGCUUGAAGAUGGAGCACUGAAUUCCUCCCAAUGCCUUCCUUUAUAGAGAAAGAAAGCAGCCUUUCAGCUCACUCACUCCACUUUGCAUCUGCAGCUCUGCCUGGCUUCAGCUCCAUAGAACAACACCUUACCCUCCUCAUACCAGAUGGGGAAUGGGAGGCUCAGUGAUUUGAAGAUAUCACACAGUAACUGAGUGUCAGCCAGAACUCAGACACAGACUUCUUAACAUCAUCCGCUUCAUCAUCAUCUUCACAUUAGCUUUGGGACUCCUUGCUGCAAAAACCAAAGGUCCUUCUUCUGUCUCUGGUAAAUCAUCUUCUCCCCACUGAGAAACCACUAAGAUUUAUCCCUGAUGGAUGGCCAGGCCUGGACCCAUGAAUCCUUCAAAGAGCCCAGACCUGAAUGUUCAAUCUCUCAUAACUCUGAGUUAAGGACACAGAGUGACACCAGAGACAGCUGGAUAAAGAAUGAAAUAAGAGGCCGGAUAAGUGUAAUUGAUGGCAGAACCCUGACACACUGAGCUGGGGAAAGAGCUCGAGAUGGUCCCAAGUUCUGACUUAUUACCCACCCAUCAUCUUCUGGGGAUGGGAAAGGGGAGAGUUGAAAACACACCAAAUUUGGAGUCAUGGACCUGGACUGGAAUUCCAACUGUGCAGUUUCCUAGCUGUGUGUCCUUGGGACAGUAACUUUCGGAGAGAAGAAGCCCUUCCCCAGCUUCAACCCCUCCUUGGUAACAAAGAAAAACCAUUAAGCGAGAGCGACGGAAGAGCGGCUGCCAGUGUGUGGUGUGUGUGUGUGUGUGUGACAUUCUGCCUCCAUAGUCCCCCACCUCUCUCCCAAAAGAAAGAUCCUUUCUUCGAGUGCAGGUUGAGAAGGUCCCUUCCAGGCCAGAGGUUACUGGAUUCUGGUUCUGUAACAUUACAAUGAAAACCUUCUCUCUCCAGUCAGGAUUUGUAAUUUGGGUGUUUUUUUGUUUUUUUUUUUCCCGGGGAAAGGCUUCAGCACAGAAAGAAUAUAGAGAAGCUGGGGGGGGUGGGGGAGGAAUGGGAUCCCAUUUUUGUCUCC
rnacentral:lncRNA from 1 species